UGGGGAAUAUUGCGCAAUGGGGGAAACCCUGACGCAGCGACGCCGCGUGCGGGAUGAAGGCCUUCGGGUUGUAAACCUUUUUCGCUCAUGGUCAAGCCGCAGCUUUGGGUUGUGGUGAGGGUAGUGGGUAAAGAAGCGCCGGCUAACUACGUGCCAGCAGCCGCGGUAAUACGUAGGGCGCGAGCGUUGUCCGGAAUUAUUGGGCGUAAAGGGCUUGUAGGCGGUUGGCCGCGUCUGCCGUGAAAUCCUCUGGCUUAACUGGGGGCGUGCGGUGGGUAUGGGUUGACUUGAGUGCGGUAGGGGAGACUGGAAUUCCUGGUGUAGCGGUGGAAUGCGCAGAUAUCAGGAGGAACACCGGUGGCGAAGGCGGGUCUCUGGGCCGUUACUGACGCUGAGGAGCGAAAGCGUGGGGAGCGAACAGG
rnacentral:rRNA from 1 species